GCACUUUUAAAGUGGAUUUGAUUUAAAAUAAUGAUAAAGCUGUUUUUUUUAUGUAUUUGUAUAUCUUAUCCUCUAUCGUGUUUAAGAAGAAGAGAAUAAUGAAGCUUUUUAUGAAAUAAUAUUUGGGUUUAUUUUAUUUUCCUUUAUUUUCUCCUCAUAGAUUCAAAUUUACGUCAACGUCCGUUACGUUGGUGACGUCACCGCGAGGAGCUGAAAGCGGUGUUUGUGUUAGUUCUGGCCCGUUUGGACCCAAAAUAAAGUGAGUUUAUUCAGUUCUGUGUAACCGAACCCGUUGUGUUUUGUGCUGUAUUGUGUGUAUGUGUGUAGUUAACGGUGUUAACACCUGUGUUUCAGGUGUAUCAGUAUGAAGCAGGCGGUGACGGCGCAGUGAUUCACUCUCGGAGCUCGGUUCACUUAUGACCGAAUCACCGGGGAACCGACCAAAGAUAACUCACACCCGCACGGAGAAGAAGAUGAGCUGGAGUGGGGCAAAGAGAACUGCAUUCAGAUCAAACGGUGGCUGAGUUGUUUGAGGAUCUGAAGAAUUGAGUGUCACAAUUCAACAUGCACAUCAGCGAAACUUCCUCUGACUACACCAGCGCGCACACACAGAAAUUCAUAGUGCAGGUCAAAAUAUAUACAGCAGCGGUGCCCAAUAUGUCAAUCGUGAUCGACCGGUUGAUCGCAAAGGAAGUGCGGGUAGAUCGCCAUUAAAAAAAGAUGUUAGUUGAUGUACAGGGCAGCCAGUCUGAGAUCUCGUCUUUUCUCUCACCACGCGUGUGCGAUCAAGCGCACCAGUGCUAAAGGCUAGCGAGCGAAAUCGCGGGGAGAGGACAUUUUUCAGUCUUUUAAAGACUUGAUUGACAAAACCCAGCUCCCAGUGUGCAAAUUGAUAUCAGUCAAUGGUUGAGCAGCGCAAAUGGAUUCAUUGCCAAGUACAGGGAAGACGAUGCUUUCCCUGACUUCCUUAACUACCACUGCAUAAUACACCAACAAGCCUUAUGCGCAAGAAUGCUAAACAUGAAAGAGAUCAUGGAUGUGGCAACAAAGAUCGCCUGUUCUAUACGUGCUAGAUCACUUCAAAGACAGCUGUUCCGUGCGCAUCUGGAGAAGGCAGACUGCGACCAAUCAGCUCCUGCUACACACUGACGUGAGAUGGCUUAGUAGGGGUAAAUUCCUGCAGAGAUUUCGAGAGCUCUGUCCGGAGAUAAGCGAGUUUCUUUUUGCUGUUAAACAUGCAGAAUACACCCAAGUCAAUGAUGAUCAGUGGUUGCUGGACUUUUUUUAACCGAGCAUUUUAACCGAUCUGACCAACUUAAUUUGGAGCUGCAAGGAAAAGACAAAAAUUAAAGGCAGUUAAUGCCUUUAAACGGAAAAUGCAACUUCUGUUCUCAAAGCUGCAGCGCCAUGUUUUUGGGAACUUCCAAAACCUCGCGUCAGAGCUGGAGACGCAGCGGAAGGCUUGUGCGCAGUUUAACAUUGCACGCUACACGGAGCAGAUUGACAGCUGUCGGUCAGAGUUUGACAGACGCUUUCAAGACUUUGCUUUACUGGAGCCAUUCUCCACAUUCAUGUGCUACCCGUUUAGGGACAAUGUUGAGGUUGAUUGAUUCGCAUCGAAAAUUGCAACGCUGUUUCACCUGAACUCGUCUGAAGUGGAGGAUGAGAUUUUGAAACUACAGACUGACAUUCAGCUGAAGUCCAGGGCUCAUGGACAGUUCUGGAACUUACUCACAGGGGAAAAGUACCCAAACAUGAGGAAAUGUGCCACCUCCUUGACUGCAUUAUUUGGCUCUACUUAUUUAUGUGAGUCAGCCUUUUCCCUCAUGAAGAUCAUUAAGUCCAAAUACCGUUCCACAAUGACUGAUCAUCAUUUGGAGGCCUGCUUGAGGCUGGCUACCAGCAGCUACUCUCCGGACUAUGCAACCCUGGCUGAUUCUAUUCAGUGCACGUCGUCAGAGUAAGGUGGCGAUUGCAGGCGCAUUUUAUCCGAACUGCUUCCUCCAGGGAACUGUGGACGAGGAGCUCGCCUCCAAGGAGCUCUAUGGAAACGACCCCAGGACCACCGUAGUGGUGUGUAAUCUCCCUCCAUUUGCAUUCCUCUACUAUAAACAGCUCCAGUCUCUCUUCAGACACUGUGGUUAAGUCAAAUCCAUCUCCUUUGACAGCUCCAGGGCCUAUGUAGAGUUCUACCGCUCGUCAAUGAGAGGUUCUGGCGUUCUCCCAGAGGUCUCUCUGUCUCUCCUCCUCGCGCAGCAGAGACUUCCUCUCCAUCUCAACGUUUAACCCGCUGGAGAGGUGGAGACUUGGGCAGGGGGGUAGUGUAUCUCACACCUCAGAUAUACAUGGGUGAAUGUGGAUUUUCAGAAUCAGUCAGUGAGCCCUGUCGGGGUUCUGAGCAGCUCCAUUGAGUUGGAGAAUCUUCCGUCUAACCCUGUCUUUAUCGUCAAUAUCACCGAGGUGUCUGUUCCGCCUCUUUCACUUUCAGUGCACAAAUAAAAAAAAAAAAGCAGUGGCUCCUGUGUGUCUGUGUCUGUGUGUGUGUGUGUCUAGGUCAUCAAAGUGGGGCAUUUCUGGGGUUUCCAGGCUCACGAGGCAAGUCUGGAGAAACAGGUGGCUGACAGUGGCCGUUAAUACACGGGCGCUCUGCCCACUUCCUGUCUCACUUUAUCCAAAUCUUCUGUGUCUCGCCCCUUUCUCUGAAACUCACACCAAACCUGGGAACUACUACAGAGCCAAAAUACUGCAUGUCAUGGGGAGUAAUGUGGAGGUGUUCGUUGUGGACUUUGGAAACACUUCCAAGGUGCCAUGUAACUCUGGAACUUCCUGCUGACCGGCAAGCUCUGUCCUUUCAGUUGAAGCACCUGAUGAUAUUGGUAUCGACUGCUACCACGACAGUGCCGCAGGAAAGAGAUCCAUCGGUGCACUGGUGGCCAGCCUCAACCCGGGCAUGUCCAGGAACAUGUCCCACACUCGGAGGACUGAGGCCCAGGGCAGAGUUCAGGAGAAGGCGCACAUGAACCACUCCAUCAUGUAGAGCACCAGCUUGAUCUUGUGCUUGUCCAGGUGCCGAUACGCCACAGGACACACUCAC